CGGGUGACACAGUGACAGAGUGAGGGAGCAGGUGACACAGUGACAGAGUUAGGGAGGGAGUGACUAGUGACAGAGAGAGGGAUGGGGUGACUAGUGACAGUCACCCCCCUCACUCUGUCACUAGUCACCCCUUCCCUCCCUCACUUUGCCACUAGUCAUCUCUUCCCUCCCUCACUCUGCCACUAGUCACCCAUUCCCUCACUCUGUCACUAGUCACCC